AAUACAUGCUAAAAUACCGUAUUUGUAGAGUAUUUUUCUUUUCUUCCAGGCAUUCGUCUUUUCUUUUCAACAACAUACAAACCGGAAGAAGGAAGCUCCCAAUUUUUUAUUUUUAUUUUUGGUCCAAUCAUCAGAGGGAAUUGUAUAAAUCCUUGACCAAUCACAAACGGGGGUGGGAGUCAAUCGUAUCUGUGAAACGACUGGCUGGUGACAGAACUAUUCCCGCCCUGAGAAUGUUUACUAAUACCCGAUAGUUUGCAUACUGGAUACGGAUUGGCUGGUGACAGAACCAUUCCCGCCCUGAGAAUGUUUAAUAAACUCAGGUAGUUUGGAUACUGGAUACUGUGCGUACGUAAGACCGUAUACCAUUAGCCUUUUCACCUGGCUACAUGAACAAUAGUUCAAAUAAGCAAUUACCAAAUAAACAUUUGUACCAAAAUAAUAAUAAUAAUUUGUACCAAAAUAAUAAUUUGUACCAAAUAAGCAUUUAGAUUAAUUUGAGAGAAACCGAAUCGAAAAGAACAUCGUUGAAACAAACAAAGUGGCCACUUAGCUGAUUCACUGACUGGUGUGUAGAAAAAAAAGAGAUAUAUUGUGAGUUUGGGAAUAUUAAAAAAAAAAAAAAAAUGGAGCUGAACGUUAUUCUACGGGAUUUGUAUUUAUUCAGUGAGAAACAUAAAUGCUGAAGAAUGUGGGAUUAGCAGCUAACGUUAUGCUGGACUCGGAGCUGGUUUGAACCGACUAUUUCUCAGUGUAGCAUUGGAAUAUACAGAAGGACACCUAAUUCACAAUGUGUCUGUCGGCGUAAUUAAAAAGUCGAGGGAAAGACGGGCUUGAUAAAGCUGAACGGCUACAUAUGGUACACAACAGAGCCGAUGGCAGCACUAUUCUCUCUGACAACACAGCAGCGUGGAGUCAACAACAAACGAUAACACGGGACCAUUUUUUUCUCACUUUUGUGCACAAUAAAUGGCAAUAUUCAGAUCAACAUUAAUAAACAAUUGGCAUGUGUUAGUCACUCUAGACGUAGUGCUAAUGCUCGUUUUUCCCCCCAUACAUUUAACCCCCAUACAUUUAAUGUAAGCUUGCUAGCUAGCCUGUGGUUGUUGUAUAGCAACCAGUCUAUCAACGUGACUUUUGUCCAGACUAUUUUUUUCAUGGCGGAAUGUAUUUAUUUAUUAAAGCAACAUUUUUCUAUUUAA